ensembl:lncRNA
GCCUGCUUCCUCCUCAGCACAGGUUAGGUGGCACUGGGUCUGCAAAGGAACCAAAAGCACUGAGCUUAGCUGGGCACAGAACCAUCUGGACAGGCAUCUAGAAGAAGCUAGAAAAGACUUUAAUCAUGUUGAGCACCACAUCUUGAAACUCUACUGGAGACAUCCUUCCAAGCCUUUAAGCGUGUCUGUUGGACUCCUCUGGAUCUGAACCUGUCACUGGUCUAGACAACAAAGAAUAUUUGAACAGAUGUUUUUCAAGUGAGCCAUUAUUUCUCAAUUUUAAUAGAACGUCCAACUUCAUGCGAGUCAGGACUUCAUCCUGAGCGCCUCUGCACCGACAAGAAGUUGUGCUAAAUCAAGCUUUACACAACUCACUGUUCCUAGCACGGUUGGACUGAUGACGUUCUUUACCCUUUAAGAAACCUUUGAGGCUCACAAACAGAAGUUUUACAUUUAAUAGUGUGGAUACUCACAGCCUUGAUUCAUUUCCCUUGGUUUUAUAUCAUUGCUCUGUCAUGGUGCUGUUAUGGUGCAAGAAGGUGCUUUGGAAGCUUGGAGAAUAGUAAAGAGAGGCCUGGCUUUGCUCAGCAGAACUUAUUCAGG